GCUGUAAGGACUGGACGAGCGUCGCCGACUGCUGGAGGAGUAGGGAGCGGGGGACAGAGCGCCAUAAUCAUAGGGACUAAGGUGCCUGGAGAAGCUGGGAGAGCGGCGGCGUGAAGUCGGGGCCGUGGUUUCUCACCUGUCGUCUUUCUGGAGGAUGCUGCUGAAAAUCCGAGAUAAUUUUGCUCAGAGUAAUUAUAAAGCAAUGAUAUUGUUGCAUUGCAGAGAAAACUCAGUUGAAUGAUUUUUUUAAAAAAAGAUACUGAUGACCAUGAAAAUAUUGUGGGGGAAACCCAUCUGGCUCUUGGGGAAGAAAAUCUGCCAUCCUCACCCAGUCUGGUCUUUACGUGUCUCCUGAUCCACAGCAAUGCAAUUGACUCUAAACUGUAAUCUGCAAAGGCAUAGCAAGGAUUUGACUGCAUCACCCUCCAGCUGCUUUACUGUAAUAAGCACACCUUGAUUUCAUACUUCAGUGCAGAGAUCAGAAUGCUUAUCUUGAAGCUAAAGUUCCUCAGGUCAGUUUUUACUAGAGGAUGUUUUGUGGUAGUUAAGUUUGAUCAUUUAUUUGUAACAUCACUAUGAUUGAAAGAGUGCAUUACUCCAUGCUAGAUAGAAGUUUAGCCUACAACACAAUGCUGUAAAAAAUGUUAUUUUAUUUUGUAAUGGUUCAACAUACAUUAAAAUGUU